rnacentral:rRNA from 1 species
GACGAACGCUGGCGGCGUGCCUAAUACAUGCAAGUCGAGCGGACGGAUGGGAGCUUGCUCCCAGACCGUCAGCGGCGGACGGGUGAGUAACACGUGGGCAACCUGCCUGUAAGACUGGGAUAACGCCGGGAAACCGGGGCUAAUACCGGAUAACUCUUUCCCUCACAUGAGGGAAAGCUGAAAGAUGGCAUCUCGCUAUCACUUACAUAUGGGCCCGCGGCGCAUUAGCUAGUUGGUGAGGUAACGGCUCACCAAGGCGACGAUGCGUAGCCGACCUGAGCGGGUGAUCGGCCACACUGGGACUGAGACACGGCCCAGACUCCUACGGGAGGCAGCAGUAGGGAAUCUUCCGCAAUGGACGAAAGUCUGACGGAGCAACGCCGCGUGAGUGAUGAAGGUUUUCGGAUCGUAAAACUCUGUUGUCAGGGAAGAACAAGUACCGGAGUAACUGCCGGUACCUUGACGGUCCCUGACCAGAAAGCCACGGCUAACUACGUG